UACGAAGGGGGGCUAGCGUUGUUCGGAUUUACUGGGCGUAAAGCGCACGUAGGCGGAUCGUUAAGUUAGGGGUGAAAUCCUGGAGCUCAACUCCAGAACUGCCUCUAAUACUGGCGAUCUAGAGUCCGGAAGAGGUGAGUGGAACUCCUAGUGUAGAGGUGGAAUUCGUAGAUAUUAGGAAGAACACCAGUGGCGAAGGCGGCUCACUGGUCCGGUACUGACGCUGAGGAGCGAAAGCGUAGGGAGCAAACAGG
rnacentral:rRNA from 1 species